rnacentral:rRNA from 1 species
GUCUCCUUUUUUUAAUCAAUGAAACUGAUCUCCCCGUGAAGAAGCGGGGAUAUUUAUAUAAGACGAGAAGACCCUAUGGAGCUUUAAACAAUUAUAGCACUGGCCCACACUUCUUAUUCUCCUGAGACAUAAUUAUUAUAUAGACCAACAUGACUAUUAGUUUUAGGUUGGGGUGACCACGGAGCAAAAAAUAACCUCCAUGUUGAACGGAGCUACUCCUGAGCUAAAAGCUACAACUUUAAGCACCAAUAAACUGACAUCAAUUGACCCAACAUGUUGAUCAACGAACCAAGUUACCCUAGGGAUAACAGCGCAAUCCAUUUCAAGAGCUCCUAUCGACAAAUGGGUUUACGACCUCGAUGUGGGGAUCAG